CCCCUCUCAGGGUGGCACCUGGAGAGAUUCCAGUACUCUACCAGACUCUACUACAGGAGGGAGAGUCAAGCAGAGGCCUGUCCAUUCCAUUCCUAGGUUGGCCAGUGGCUAGUGAAUGGAAGGCAAUCUGCUGCAAGU